GAUGAACGCUAGCGAUAGGCUUAACACAUGCAAGUCGAGGGGCAGCACAUGAGUGGCAACACUAUGGUGGCGACCGGCGCACGGGUGAGUAACACGUAUGCGACCUGCCCGUAACUGGGGGAUAACCCGUCGAAAGGCGGACUAAUACCGCAUGACAAUGCGAUGCUGCAUGGCGUUGCAUUUAAAGAUUUAUCGGUUACGGAUGGGCAUGCGUGACAUUAGCUAGUUGGUAAGGUAACGGCUUACCAAGGCUGCGAUGUCUAGGGGUCCUGAGAGGGUGAUCCCCCACACUGGUACUGAGACACGGACCAGACUCCUACGGGAGGCAGCAGUGAGGAAUAUUGGUCAAUGGGCGUAAGCCUGAACCAGCCAUCCCGCGUGAAGGAAGAAGGCGCUAUGCGUCGUAAACUUCUUUUCCGGAGGAAUAAAAUUUCGUACGUGUACGGGACUGAAGGUACUCCGGGAAUAAGCAUCGGCUAACUCCGUGCCAGCCGCCGCAGUAAGAC
rnacentral:rRNA from 1 species